rnacentral:rRNA from 1 species
UACGUAGGGACCGAGCGUUGUCCGGAAUCAUUGGGCGUAAAGAGCGUGUAGGCGGCCCUUUAAGUCCUGCGUGAAAUCCUGCGGCUCAACCGCAGACGGUCGUGGGAAACUGGAGGGCUAGAGUGCGGGAGAGGGAUGUGGAAUUCCAGGUGUAGCGGUGAAAUGCGUAGAUAUCUGGAGGAACACCGGUGGCGAAGGCGGCAUCCUGGACCGGUAUUGACGCUGAUGCGCGAAAGCCAGGGGAGCAAACGGG